rnacentral:rRNA from 1 species
GCUUACGGCCACACUACCCUGAUGUGAUCCAAGGCUUGGCCUGGUUAGUAUCUGGAUGAGAGACCACCUGGGGAUACCAGGUGUUAUAGGCU